rnacentral:rRNA from 1 species
GGGUUGUGAGGUUAAGCGACUAAGCGUACACGGUGGAUGCCCUGGCAGUCAGAGGCGAUGAAGGACGUGCUAAUCUGCGAUAAGCGUCGGUAAGGUGAUAUGAACCGUUAUAACCGGCGAUUUCCGAAUGGGGAAACCCAGUGUGNNAGCCCAGAGCCUGAAUCAGUGUGUGUGUUAGUGGAAGCGUCUGGAAAGGCGCGCGAUACAGGGUGACAGCCCCGUACACAAAAAUGCACAUAUUGUGAGCUCGAUGAGUAGGGCGGGACACGUGGUAUCCUGUCUGAAUAUGGGGGGACCAUCCUCCAAGGCUAAAUACUCCUGACUGACCGAUAGUGAACCAGUACCGUGAGGGAAAGGCGAAAAGAACCCCGGCGAGGGGAGUGAAAAAGAACCUGAAACCGUGUACGUACAAGCAGUGGGAGCACGCUUAGGCGUGUGACUGCGUACCUUUUGUAUAAUGGGUCAGCGACUUAUAUUCUGUAGCAAGGUUAACCGAAUAGGGGAGCCGAAGGGAAACCGAGUCUUAACUGGGCGUUAAGUUGCAGGGUAUAGACCCGAAACCCGGUGAUCUAGCCAUGGGCAGGUUGAAGGUUGGGUAACACUAACUGGAGGACCGAACCGACUAAUGUUGAAAAAUUAGCGGAUGACUUGUGGCUGGGGGUGAAAGGCCAAUCAAACCGGGAGAUAGCUGGUUCUCCCCGAAAGCUAUUUAGGUAGCGCCUCGUGAAUUCAUCUCCGGGGGUAGAGCACUGUUUCGGCAAGGGGGUCAUCCCGACUUACCAACCCGAUGCAAACUGCGAAUACCGGAGAAUGUUAUCACGGGAGACACACGGCGGGUGCUAACGUCCGUCGUGAAGAGGGAAACAACCCAGACCGCCAGCUAAGGUCCCAAAGUCAUGGUUAAGUGGGAAACGAUGUGGGAAGGCCCAGACAGCCAGGAUGUUGGCUUAGAAGCAGCCAUCAUUUAAAGAAAGCGUAAUAGCUCACUGGUCGAGUCGGCCUGCGCGGAAGAUGUAACGGGGCUAAACCAUGCACCGAAGCUGCGGCAGCGACGCUUAUGCGUUGUUGGGUAGGGGAGCGUUCUGUAAGCCUGCGAAGGUGUGCUGUGAGGCAUGCUGGAGGUAUCAGAAGUGCGAAUGCUGACAUAAGUAACGAUAAAGCGGGUGAAAAGCCCGCUCGCCGGAAGACCAAGGGUUCCUGUCCAACGUUAAUCGGGGCAGGGUGAGUCGACCCCUAAGGCGAGGCCGAAAGGCGUAGUCGAUGGGAAACAGGUUAAUAUUCCUGUACUUGGUGUUACUGCGAAGGGGGGACGGAGAAGGCUAUGUUGGCCGGGCGACGGUUGUCCCGGUUUAAGCGUGUAGGCUGGUUUUCCAGGCAAAUCCGGAAAAUCAAGGCUGAGGCGUGAUGACGAGGCACUACGGUGCUGAAGCAACAAAUGCCCUGCUUCCAGGAAAAGCCUCUAAGCAUCAGGUAACAUCAAAUCGUACCCCAAACCGACACAGGUGGUCAGGUAGAGAAUACCAAGGCGCUUGAGAGAACUCGGGUGAAGGAACUAGGCAAAAUGGUGCCGUAACUUCGGGAGAAGGCACGCUGAUAUGUAGGUGAAGUCCCUUGCGGAUGGAGCUGAAAUCAGUCGAAGAUACCAGCUGGCUGCAACUGUUUAUUAAAAACACAGCACUGUGCAAACACGAAAGUGGACGUAUACGGUGUGACGCCUGCCCGGUGCCGGAAGGUUAAUUGAUGGGGUCAGCGCAAGCGAAGCUCUUGAUCGAAGCCCCGGUAAACGGCGGCCGUAACUAUAACGGUCCUAAGGUAGCGAAAUUCCUUGUCGGGUAAGUUCCGACCUGCACGAAUGGCGUAAUGAUGGCCAGGCUGUCUCCACCCGAGACUCAGUGAAAUUGAACUCGCUGUGAAGAUGCAGUGUACCCGCGGCAAGACGGAAAGACCCCGUGAACCUUUACUAUAGCUUGACACUGAACAUUGAGCCUUGAUGUGUAGGAUAGGUGGGAGGCUUUGAAGUGUGGACGCCAGUCUGCAUGGAGCCGGCCUUGAAAUACCACCCUUUAAUGUUUGAUGUUCUAACGUGGACCCGUGAUCCGGGUUGCGGACAGUGUCUGGUGGGUAGUUUGACUGGGGCGGUCUCCUCCUAAAGAGUAACGGAGGAGCACGAAGGUUGGCUAAUCCUGGUCGGACAUCAGGAGGUUAGUGCAAUGGCAUAAGCCAGCUUGACUGCGAGCGUGACGGCGCGAGCAGGUGCGAAAGCAGGUCAUAGUGAUCCGGUGGUUCUGAAUGGAAGGGCCAUCGCUCAACGGAUAAAAGGUACUCCGGGGAUAACAGGCUGAUACCGCCCAAGAGUUCAUAUCGACGGCGGUGUUUGGCACCUCGAUGUCGGCUCAUCACAUCCUGGGGCUGAAGUAGGUCCCAAGGGUAUGGCUGUUCGCCAUUUAAAGUGGUACGCGAGCUGGGUUUAGAACGUCGUGAGACAGUUCGGUCCCUAUCUGCCGUGGGCGCUGGAGAACUGAGGGGGGCUGCUCCUAGUACGAGAGGACCGGAGUGGACGCAUCACUGGUGUUCGGGUUGUCAUGCCAAUGGCACUGCCCGGUAGCUAAAUGCGGAAGAGAUAAGUGCUGAAAGCAUCUAAGCACGAAACUUGCCCCGAGAUGAGUUCUCCCUGACCCUUUAAGGGUCCUGAAGGAACGUUGAAGACGACGACGUUGAUAGGCCGGGUGUGUAAGCGCAGCGAUGCGUUGAGCUAACCGGUACUAAUGAACCGUGAGGCUUAACCUUACAACGCCGAAG